GAUUAGAUACCCCACUAUGCUUUGCCCUAAACAUUGAUAGUUUAAUACAAGCACUAUCCGCCUGGGAACUACGAGCAUAGCUUAAAACCCAAGGACUUGGCGGUGCUUUAGACCCCCCUAGAGGAGCCUGUUCUAAAACCGAUAACCCCCGUUCAACCUCACCUUUUCUUGUUCCCCCCGCCUAUAUACCGCCGUCGUCAGCUUACCCUUUGAAGGCCCUUUAGUAAGCAUAAUUGGCACAGCCUAAAACGUCAGGUCGAGGUGUAGCGUAUGGAAAGGGAAGAAAUGGGCUACAUUCCCUGUUGCAGUGAAUUACGGAUAAUACCACUGAAACGUGUAUCUAGAAGGAGGAUUUAGCAGUAAGCAGAAAGUAGAGCGUUCUGCUGAAACCGGCCUGAA
rnacentral:rRNA from 1 species